CUCCUCUUCUCCUCCGUCCCCCAAAUCGUCCUCCACCUGCGCCUACGUUCUUCCUCCACCUGCGACGCGUACUACCGGAGCAGAUGAAGAGCGACGGUUGCCUCCCGCUUCAGGCCGUCCAGUGUGCUCCGAUCAACGGAAUCGCAAAAAUGGCACCAAGCCCAUCCGGAUCGGAAAACCGGUUCUCCUUCUACACGGAUUAAUUGUACAUCAUGCCGCCGUAAUCAUGGAUUCAUGACGCUGGUAACGCUGUAAUAAUUGAUUCAUGGCGUUGGUAAUAGCGUUACUGUCAGUUCUCCCUUCUCUUUCAAGUAUAAAUAUGUGGACACAGCCAACGAUCUUUCCUCACUACACCCAUCUCACAUUCGACGUCCCAUUACUCAUCCGAGAUGCUGCUUGCUUAGGGAUUGUCAUCAUCCUAUUUUCCAGAUUAUUAUUCCCGGACUCAUCUCACCAGUGUGACCUUUAUUUAUUAUUAUUUCACAAUGGCCGUUGGACAGGAUAUGCCUCUGUAGAAAUAAUGACAAAGCGUUCUCGAGCAAACCCAACUUAGCACGCGCACCUCGACUGCUCGAAGAAUACUGGGAAAAUGUCCAUGUGAUCUGCGACUACUUCAAGGCAUCCUGGAGACAACUACAACUACAUCAGUGCUAAUAUACAGACCAUGGUGGGAGGUUGCAUACAGAUUGCACAAUACUUCUAAUGUUGUACAGUUGAAACCGAUCCACAUUUUUAGUUGGACAAUGUUUGUAUGCAGAACGGCUGUAUUUUGACUUAUGUACAACCUCUAGAAAAUACAUGUUAUGCAAUCAAUCUAAAUGAUUAGAUGUAAAACUGUUUUUUCAACGGCUGGUUUAGAAAUUCGUUCGUAUUUAUUCUUAUUCAUUGGGAAGCUAAUUAAUGUAAUUUUUGACUGAAUUAUAGCAUCUGACAUUACUAUUGCAUUUGAACUUGGAGUAUUUCUUUGAUGCUACAGGUUAGUAAGAAUAUGAUGUCGAGAAGGUAAAUACUUAUUCACUUAAUCUCUGAGUGCUUCAAGCUUUGACCAGUGUACAAAGUUCUGCAAUAUUGUUGAAAUGUUGGUGGAUCUAGAAUCUUGCCUGUUCUUGGCAGUAUCAGCGGCUCUCUGCCCUACUUUGCUUUUAAAUUUAGAAAAAAAAAUCAUUUGUGUGUAAACGCUGUUCGUGCUAACAUUUGUCUUGCCUUGAUCUUUUCGACGCCGUACAUUCAAGUGUCUGAACUCAUGGUACUACCUUUUGCCAUUUUAUUUUGGGUGUUCAUGUUGGUUCCUUUGGUGAUCUAGGUUGUGUGUGAAAUUGGGCAACUCAGUCUAGGGAAAGAGAAGGCUGUCAAAGAAGAGUUGCAAGUAAUUAAGCGUGUAUGCAAUGCGUCAAUGGGACAGUUGUUUUCAGUUUGUACACAUUUAAAAAAUAGUUGGCUGAUACCUUUAGUCGUUAUAUUACAUGUGUUGCCUCUGUUUGCUAGGGCACAUAUGUCGUCAUAUUUUCAGGAUUAGAUUAAUCACCAUAUUGUUCUUACAUUUUAUCUUGGCUGUUCUUGGAGAUUUGUGCUUGCCUUUAGUUCUUGUUUUUUGCUUGAAAUUCUAGCCUGCCCAACAUCUGGGUUGACACCGUAUAUUUAGAUGCCAUAGUGCCAUGGUGUGCAUUGCUGAUCAUGCAUAAAGAAGAAUUUAAGUUACUCAUUUUCCUCCUAUGAGUUGAAUCGUCUGAAAUUUUGGUGCAAGUUUAUUAUUAAAUGCUAUAUUUACAAUUGAAAAUCAUUAUGUUCUAUGUUCGUUAGUGGACCUGUUUUGAUAUCAUUUUUUUGGUUAGACAGGUAGCUCACCAGAAAAGGGGUGAGAGAACAAUUUCGUUUAUUGGAAGGAGAUACAAGAAAUUUCUAUUACAUGACUUUUUUUUGCUGGAAUGCUGAGACUACUGCAGGUAAAUAGAAAUGAUGUAGAAAUAUAUAAGAAAUGUUCUACUCCCAUUGUUGUUUUGAAUAGUUUGGUAUCACAGAGUGUAGUUAAUUUUAAUAUUAACUAUCUUUCUUAUUGAGAUAAUGAAUAUCACCUGUCAGAAUUUUAAUUGUAUUGAGAUAUUUAUACAGUGCUUAACUUAGCUAUUCAAAUAUUCGAGGUUCGUUGUUAUCCAUCAGUUUGUGUCUUUUUUACUUACUGCGAGCCUGCAAGGUAUAUGUCUCUUUAUUUCCAGAAGUUUGAUCUGGUUUUUGUGUUGGGCUGUGUAAUGCUCGUGCCUGCCAUUUUGUGGUGUCUGCAGUUAUGGGCGAGAAGUACACAGUUUAAUUUGUCUUGCAUCUUCCCUAAAUGUACAAAAGGUAUGCACUCUCUCGAAAAUCAAUCAUAUUACAAAUUUAUUGGUCUAUUGUUCCUUGCAUUUUUUGUUCCUGGUUUGUCGUGUAACAGUUUCACAUGCUGAAGUUUUUGGCGGUUUGCAAAAUCUGUGCACAUCAUGUGUCUGAUCUUUUGCCUUGACUAAAAUGCAUGACAUGUUAUUUAUCACAACACUUUCAUACCAAUAUUUACUCAGCUAUCCUGUGUAGUUAUUUCCUGAACUCCUUAUAAGGGCUUUCACCUUCUUGCUUUGGGAAAUAGCUUCUGAACUCAAUAUGAACAUACAAGGAAGUGUCAUACAUCAUUCAUUCACCAAUGAAUAUAUUCCAUCAAUUAAGAAGUAUGAUGGUACCUUCAAGGUAGACAAUACCACUCAUAUUCUCUCAAACUUCAAGGGACCCUUCAGUUUAAAUAUUCCAAACAUAUUCCAAUUAGAUGUCCUGAACAUAUUCUAUAUGGUUUGUAUAUGGUUUGCUUUCAUUAUCAUGCCAAAAAUCCCAUAGAUAAUAUUUUAAAUAUGAGUAGGUUUUUUUGUAAUAGCUUUUUGGUGAAGCUUGUUUAUGCUAUUUACCAUUUUUUGGCUUAGUUUUGCCUAGCUAAGCAUUUUUUGUUAGAUCUAGCAGUAAACCUGUGGCAUUUAACUGACUCGAUGUGCAUGUUUUGUUAAUCAUUCUGGUGAAGAUUUGAAUUGUACAAUUUCUCUUUGAUUUGUUGUGGGAACUUUGAUUUCUAGGUGGGAAACCCGAUAUACACUUGAACAACUUGAAGUAGUGUUGCGGAACUGGAAGGGCAGCAUAUAGAAGACAUAGUUACUGUGUGCUUGUUGCAUCCUUUUAUUUAUCUCUCAUACUCCAAUACUUGGAGCAAAGGAUCACAUGAUCUCAAUUUUUUAACAAGUGUAAUUUAGGUACUUAUUUUGUAUGUUCGCCAUAAUUCUCAAAUACGACAAAUUGUACUAUGUAUGUGUUUGUACUGGGCUCAAAUUGGGCACAAGUAAUAAUC